AUUGAACGCUGGCGGCAUGCCUUACACAUGCAAGUCGAACGGUAACAGGUCUUCGGAUGCUGACGAGUGGCGAACGGGUGAGUAAUACAUCGGAACGUGCCUAGUAGUGGGGGAUAACUACUCGAAAGAGUGGCUAAUACCGCAUGAGAUCUACGGAUGAGAGCAGGGGAUCGCAAGACCUUGUGCUACUAGAGCGGCCGAUGGCAGAUUAGGUAGUUGGUGGGAUAAAAGCUUACCAAGCCGACGAUCUGGAGCUGGUCUGAGAGGACGAUCAGCCACACUGGGACUGAGACACGGCCCAGACUCCUACGGGAGGCAGCAGUGGGGAAUUUUGGACAAUGGGCGAAAGCCUGAUCCAGCAAUGCCGCGUGCAGGAUGAAGGCCUUCGGGUUGUAAACUGCUUUUGUACGGAACGAAAAGCCCCGGGUUAAUACCCUGGGGUCAUGACGGUACCGUAAGAAUAAGCACCGGCUAACUACGUGCCAGCCGCCGCAGUAA
rnacentral:rRNA from 1 species